rnacentral:rRNA from 1 species
GCAUAUCAAUAAGCGGAGGAAAAGAAACCAACAGGGAUGCCUUCAGUUAACGGCGAAGUGAAGCGGCAACAGCUCAAAUUUGAAAUCUGGCCCUUUCAGGGUCCGAGUUGUAAUUUGUAGAAGAGGCUUCGGGUGUGGCUCCGGUCUAAGUUCCUUGGAACAGGACGUCAUAGAGGGUGAGAAUCCCGUCUGUGACCGGUCGCCUUCGCCCAUGUGAAGCUCUUUCGACGAGUCGAGUUGUUUGGGAAUGCAGCUCAAAAUGGGUGGUAAAUUUCAUCUAAAGCUAAAUAUUGGCCAGAGACCGAUAGCGCACAAGUAGAGUGAUCGAAAGAUGAAAAGCACUUUGGAAAGAGAGUUAAACAGUACGUGAAAUUGUUGAAAGGGAAGCGCUUGCAACCAGACUUGCGCGCGGUCGAUCAUCCGGUGUUCUCACCGGUGCACUCGGCCGCGCUCAGGCCAGCAUCGGUCUGGGUGGUUGGAUAAAGGCCUGGGGAAUGUGGCUCCUCUCGGGGAGUGUUAUAGCCCCAGGUGCAAUGCAGCCUACCUGGACCGAGGACCGCGCUUCGGCUAGGAUGCUGGCGUAAUGGUUGUAAGCGACCCGUCUUGAAACACGGACCAAGGAGUCUAACAUCUAUGCGAGUGUUUGGGUGUCAAACCCAUACGCGUAAUGAAAGUGAACGGAGGUGAGAACCCUUAAGGGUGCAUCAUCGACCGAUCCUGAUGUCUUCGGAUGGAUUUGAGUAAGAGCAUAGCUGUUGGGACCCGAAAGAUAGUGAACUAUGCCUGAAUAGGGUGAAAGCCAGAGGAAACUCUGGUGGAGGCUCGCAGCGGUUCUGACGUGCAAAUCGAUCGUCAAAUUUGGGUAUAGGGGGCGAAAGACUAAUCGAACUAUCUAGUAGCUGGUUCCUGCCGAA